rnacentral:lncRNA from 1 species
UAGAGAUUCUUCCUAGGUUCUUCUUGUCCUAAACAAAGAAUUUGGACAAAACAAGCACAAAAGAUAGUGAUGUUUUACUUUUAUUAAAGGUUGGAAAAGAAACAUGCUCUGCUGAGUGAGGAUGUGCCAAUUAAAAUUAGGAAAAGAAAUACACUCUGCAGAGUGAGAACAGACCACUGUGAGAGAGUACAGUGGCCAGGAGCUAAAUGGGGGCCAUCUUUUUUAUUUCUUAAUUCACAGGCUGAGGUCAGAUCCAGACCAUCCUAUCAAAAGCCUGCUUGAUUUCUUUUGAGAAGAAUUGAAGAUAGCACUUUCUAACUGGAUCCAGAUGCGGGGCGUGGGCACAUGUCUCCUGCUUUUCUGUGAUUGAUUGAUGUCACACCCACUUGGCCUGUCUGCUACAUCUCUUAUUUCUGCAGCUUCCCAUGAAAAUUCCUGUGUAGGAUCAUCAGAUUAAUCAAAGCUGCUCACAAAUCCAUCUCCUAGUCAGCAGAUAAAGGAGAAGAAAAUAUCCAUCAUAUUCUUCCAGCUUCUCUAAAGUUAAGCUCACUUGUAAUUCACCAGGCCUCACAUAGCAGGAAGCACUUCCUAAACAGGAAAUGGUUGCAGAUAAGAUAUGAUGCCUGCAAUAAGGAAUAUGGAAUAUGUCUGUGCACAAGGAUCCACAGAAUGAUGGAACAAACAUACGCCUUUCUAGAGCUUCUACUCCUGUGUGCCUGCAUUUAUCCCUUCACUGCAGAGAAGCCAGUGUUUACAUUUGCUAACCUAAGAAACAAGCAAGAAGCAAGAAAGUGGGAAUGGGGACUUUUUUAAAGCUUCAGCCUUGCCAAGAAGGGAGGGGAGUUUCUGAGCUUCCUUUAUUAUAAAUAAUCUCCUUUGUUCAUCUAUUUUGUCAGUUUUCAAUAGUAGUAUUAUUUUGCCUGUGCAAGUGAAACAAAUCUUCAACCAAAAAAAACAAAAACAAAACAAACAAACAAAAAAAAAAACAAAAAAAAAGCACAGCCAAAAAGCAAAUGUUCAGUAUUGAUAAAAAGAGCUUGAAGAUUGACGCCACAUAGACAUAUGAAGCUAUAACUUCAGUUAUUGUCUGUGUAUGGCUGUAGGGGUUAAAGCAUUGAAUGAACGUUCAGCAACUGCAACAUUAAUAUGUCUGUGUUUCUCCCUUUGACCAUGAAUGUAUAGGGAAACUUCUGAAUGACAUAGCAGAGGGCCGCUUAAACUCUUUAGCAUCGCUUGAGCAACCAGGCUUUAUCAUCUAUGCUUGUGCAACGGACCCCAAAAUUAAUGUUCUACUGUUUUGAGUUCACUAACUUAAAUGAAAGAAUUUCACUAUAGGCAUGCAUCUUGACCCCGGAGAAUGAAAGUUUUAAUGUAAUUCUCAAGAAGUUUAUGUAGUGCAGGAAGAAGAUUCACUGCCACAAGAAUGUGAAACAGUGAGUUCUCCAUCUUGAGCAACAAUAUUAUCUAAUAAAAUGCAUAAUGAAAACCCCCU